rnacentral:pre_miRNA from 1 species
AAAGUACUCCCUCCGUCCCAAAAUUCUUGUCUUAGAUUUGUCUAGAUACGGAUGUAUCAAGUCACAUUUUAGUAUUAGAUACAUCCCUAUCUAGACAAAUCUAAGACAAGAAAUUUGGGACAGAGGGAGUAGUUG